UACAGAGGGUGCGAGCGUUAAUCGGAAUUACUGGGCGUAAAGCGUGCGCAGGCGGUGAUUUAAGCCAGAUGUGAAAUCCCCGGGCUCAACCUGGGAACUGCAUUUGUGACUGCAUCGCUGGAGUGCGGCAGAGGGGGAUGGAAUUCCGCGUGUAGCAGUGAAAUGCGUAGAUAUGCGGAGGAACACCGAUGGCGAAGGCAAUCCCCUGGGCCUGCACUGACGCUCAUGCACGAAAGCGUGGGGAGCAAACAGG
rnacentral:rRNA from 1 species